UACGGAGGGGGCAAGCGUUGUUCGGAAUUACUGGGCGUAAAGGGCGUGUAGGUGGUCAUACAAGUCAGACGUGAAAGCCCCGGGCUUAACCUGGGAUGUGCGUUUGAUACUGUAGGACUAGAGAUUGAGAGAGGAAAACAGAAUUCCUAGUGUAGAGGUGAAAUUCGUAGAUAUUAGGAAGAAUACCAGUGGCGAAGGCGGUUUUCUGGCUCAAGGCUGACACUGAGGCGCGAAAGCGUGGGGAGCAAACAGG
rnacentral:rRNA from 1 species